GAUGAACGCUGGCGGCGUGCCUAACACAUGCAAGUCGAGCGGGAUUCAUGAGGACGAAACUUCGGUCUAGAAAUCAUGAUGAGAGCGGCGGACGGGUGAGUAACGCGUAGGCAACCUGCCCUUAGCACAGGGAUAGCCUCGGGAAACCGGGAUUAAAACCUGAUAAUGGCAAACAGUCACAUGGCUGUUUGGCCAAAGAUUUAUCGGCUAAGGAUGGGCCUGCGUCUGAUUAGUUAGUUGGUGGGGUAACGGCCUACCAAGACGACGAUCAGUAGCCGACCUGAGAGGGUGAUCGGCCACAUUGGAACUGAGACACGGUCCAAACUCCUACGGGAGGCAGCAGUGGGGAAUAUUGCACAAUGGGCGAAAGCCUGAUGCAGCAACGCCGCGUGAGCGAUGAAGGCCUUUGGGUCGUAAAGCUCUGUCCUAGGGGACGAACAAAAUGACGGUACCCUUGGAGGAAGCCCCGGCUAACUACGUGCCAGCCGCCGCUGUAAUAC
rnacentral:rRNA from 1 species